rnacentral:miRNA from 2 species
CUUACAUCAUCAAGUCUGAGAGGCUGAGGCUCGUCAACAGCAGCUCCGCUUUGGCUCUGACGGUGGUCUUCGGAGUUUGAAGCCCUUACCGCCAGAUGGCGGGUUGGCGUCGGUGGACGGAAU